rnacentral:rRNA from 1 species
AGCUCCAAUAGCGUAUAUUAAAGUUGUUGCAGUUAAAAAGCUCGUAGUUGGAUCUCAGGGUGAGCUCAGUUGGUCGGCCUACUUGGUCAGAACUGGCUGACUCUCCCUUGUUUCUGAAUCCCUGUGGUGGUUAACUCUAUCGCUGUGGACUUCAGAUCGUUUACCUUGAAAAAAUUAGAGUGUUCAAAGCGGGCGUUUGCUUGAAUACAUUAGCAUGGAAUAAUGGAAUAGGACCCUGGUUCUAUUUUGUUGGUUUUGAGGACCAGAGUAAUGAUUAAUAGGGAUAGUUGGGGGCAUUCAUAUUUAAUUGUCAGAGGUGAAAUUCUUGGAUUUAUGAAAGAUGAACUUCUGCGAAAGCAUUUGCCAAGGAUGUUUUCAUUAAUCAAGAACGAAAGUACGC